AAACACUUAUCCAUUGCGCUAUUACAGC
rnacentral:sRNA from 1 species